rnacentral:rRNA from 1 species
AGUCGAACGAGCGAGAGAGAGCUUGCUUUCUCGAGCGAGUGGCGAACGGGUGAGUAACGCGUGAGGAACCUGCCUCAAAGAGGGGGACAACAGUUGGAAACGACUGCUAAUACCGCAUAAGCCCACGGGUCGGCAUCGACCAGAGGGAAAAGGAGCAAUCCGCUUUGAGAUGGCCUCGCGUCCGAUUAGCUAGUUGGUGAGGUAACGGCCCACCAAGGCGACGAUCGGUAGCCGGACUGAGAGGUUGAACGGCCACAUUUGGACUGAGACACGGCCCAGACUCCUACGGGAGGCAGCAGUGGGGAAUAUUGCACAAUGGGGGAAACCCUGAUGCAGCGACGCCGCGUGGAGGAAGAAGGUCUUCGGAUUGUAAACUCCUGUUGUUGGGGAAGAUAAUGACGGUACCCAACAAGGAAGUGACGGCUAACUACGUGCCAGCAGCCGCGGUAAAACGUAGGUCACAAGCGUUGUCCGGAAUUACUGGGUGUAAAGGGAGCGCAGGCGGGAAGACAAGUUGGAAGUGAAAUCUAUGGGCUCAACCCAUAAACUGCUUUCAAAACUGUUUUUCUUGAGUAGUGCAGAGGUAGGCGGAAUUCCCGGUGUAGCGGUGGAAUGCGUAGAUAUCGGGAGGAACACCAGUGGCGAAGGCGGCCUACUAGGCACCAACUGACGCUGAGGCUCGAAGGUGUGGGUAGCAAACAGGAUUAGAUACCCUGGUAGUCCACACCGUAAACGAUGAUUACUAGGUGUUGGAGGAUUGACCCCUUCAGUGCCGCAGUUAACACAA